UGGUGGCUUGCCGGCCGGGUUUAUUUAUAGUACACGUCCGAGAUGUUCGUGUGGCCUGAUGCUUAUUGGCUGGUCACGCCCAUGCAUGGAGCUAGCAACACGAGCUAAAUCAGCUCAAGUUCUCUAAUUCGCCAUUCAAUCAUUAGCCUUGGUCCUGAGAAGAGAGAAGAUUGCAUUGCAGGCUCAAGGACCAACGUUGAUCUGCGGCACAUCCAUCAGCCGAUCAAUGGGGUCGUCGCGCCGGUCCUCCGCCGUUGCCGCUGCCGUCCUUGUCCUUCUGCUACUCCUUGUGUCCACCGAGGUGGUUGUAGCCCAAGGAUACAAGAGAAAGGUGUGCUCAAAGCCGAGCAAGAGGUACAGAGGUCCGUGCUUCAUUAGCAUUGACUGCAAACUUGAAUGCGUCAAGGAAGGGCUCCCUCAAGGACGUUGUAGUAGCUUCGCCGGUCAAUGCCUAUGCAGCCAAAAUGGAUGUUGAAUAGAAAUAUACAUUUUUAGUUUGAGAAAGACAAUUUAAUCAAGAAGAAAUGAUUAUUCGAUA